rnacentral:rRNA from 1 species
GACGAACGCUGGCGGCGUGCUUAACACAUGCAAGUCGAACGGAAAGGCCCUGCUUUUGUGGGGUGCUCGAGUGGCGAACGGGUGAGUAACACGUGAGUAACCUGCCCUUGACUUUGGGAUAACUUCAGGAAACUGGGGCUAAUACCGGAUAGGAGCUCCUGCUGCAUGGUGGGGGUUGGAAAGUUUCGGCGGUUGGGGAUGGACUCGCGGCUUAUCAGCUUGUUGGUGGGGUAGUGGCUUACCAAGGCUUUGACGGGUAGCCGGCCUGAGAGGGUGACCGGCCACAUUGGGACUGAGAUACGGCCCAGACUCCUACGGGAGGCAGCAGUGGGGAAUAUUGCACAAUGGGCGGAAGCCUGAUGCAGCAACGCCGCGUGCGGGAUGACGGCCUUCGGGUUGUAAACCGCUUUCGCCUGUGACGAAGCGUGAGUGACGGUAAUGGGUAAAGAAGCACCGGCUAACUACGUGCCAGCAGCCGCGGUGAUACGUAGGGUGCGAGCGUUGUCCGGAUUUAUUGGGCGUAAAGGGCUCGUAGGUGGUUGAUCGCGUCGGAAGUGUAAUCUUGGGGCUUAACCCUGAGCGUGCUUUCGAUACGGGUUGACUUGAGGAAGGUAGGGGAGAAUGGAAUUCCUGGUGGAGCGGUGGAAUGCGCGGAUAUCAGGAGGAACACCAGUGGCGAAGGCGGUUCUCUGGGCCUUUCCUGACGCUGAGGAGCGAAAGCGUGGGGAGCGAACAGGCUUAGAUACCCUGGUAGUCCACGCUGUAAACGGUGGGUACUAGGUGUGGGGUCCAUUCCACGGGUUCCGUGCCGUAGCUGACGCUUUAAGUACCCCGCCUGGGGAGUACGGCCGCAAGGCUAAAACUCAAAGGAAUUGACGGGGCCCCGCACAAGCGGCGGAGCAUGCGGAUUAAUUCGAUGCAACGCGUAGAACCUUACCUGGGUUUGACAUGGAUCGGGAGUGCUCAGAGAUGGGUGUGCCUCUUUUGGGGUCGGUUCACAGGUGGUGCAUGCCUGUCGUCAGCUCGUGUCGUGAGAUGUUGGGUUAAGUCCCGCAACGAGCGCAACCCUUGUUCACUGUUGCCAGCACGUUAUGGUGGGGACUCAGUGGAGACCGCCGGGGUCAACUCGGAGGAAGGUGGGGAUGACGUCAAGUCAUCAUGCCCCUUAUGUCCAGGGCUUCACGCAUGCUACAAUGGCUGGUACAGAGAGUGGCGAGCCUGUGAGGGUGAGCGAAUCUCGGAAAGCCGGUCUCAGUUCGGAUUGGGGUCUGCAACUCGACCUCAUGAAGUCGGAGUCGCUAGUAAUCGCAGAUCAGCAACGCUGCGGUGAAUACGUUCCCGGG